AGUCACAAUUCCUCUGAGACCCUGAGAUCCUGGUGUGACCAAGCUUCUGGGAUGCUGGGAUCCUGGAAUCCUAAGAUCCUGGGCAUGUUAAAGCGCCUGGAAAUGGUACCUCCUCUGGAGACCAAGGGGCUGUCUGCUGUGUUCAAAAUCAAGCUGCAUCUCUAACAGAUGAGUGUUGAUCUCUGUUACACUAAAGUGUAUGUGUGCACAUGAAUGCAGGCACUCAUGGGGACCAAAAGAGGAAUACUUCGUGCCAGCAGAAGAAUCCAGCCUCUGUGACAACCAUAGAAAUGUGCUGUUCUUUAAUCGCUGGCUGACUCAGUUGUGGUGAACACCAGAGGAACAAGCUUUUUGGUUUAAGUUCUUUCUGUGUCUUUGGGUGGGCCAUCUUGUGUGUGGGGGCAAAUGGCAACAUGCAGUCAGGGUGGCUGUACAGGUGGCCCUUGGAGAAAGGACAGCUGUAAAUGCCCCCACCCCCACCCCGUUUGCAGAAAGCCAAGUUACUUCUUUCAUUUGGAGAGAAUGUAGCAAUUACUUGAAAUUA
rnacentral:lncRNA from 1 species